rnacentral:rRNA from 1 species
UACGAGGGGGGCUAGCGUUGUUCGGAAUCACUGGGCGUAAAGCGCACGUAGGCGGCUUGUUAAGUCAGGGGUGAAAUGCCAAGGCUCAACCUUGGAACUGCCUUUGAUACUGGCAAGCUAGAGUGUGGAAGAGGUUGGUGGAACUCCGAGUGUAGAGGUGAAAUUCGUAGAUAUUCGGAAGAACACCAGUGGCGAAGGCGGCCAACUGGUCCAUUACUGACGCUGAGGUGCGAAAGCGUGGGGAGCAAACAGG